CCCCCCUUCCCUGCUUUAUUCCUCCCCCACUCUUCACCCGCAAUUUCUCUCUCAAACCCCAAAUUCGCCCACGAACCCUUCUCUUCUUCUUCUUCCCCAAAUCCCAAACCCCAAAAACCCUACCCAAAAAAAGAUUUAAGAUUCAUUUGUUUUUUCAGAUUUUGAAGAACAGAAGAGAGGAAAGAAGAAGAAGAAGAAGAGGUAAAGGGGGGGAUGGAUUCAGAUCAGGGAAAGUUGUUUAUUGGAGGGAUAUCAUGGGAAACAAGCGAGGACAAGUUAGGGGAAUACUUUGGCCAAUAUGGAAACGUUUUGCAGACCGUGGUUAUGAGAGAUAAGGUUACCGGAAGACCCCGGGGGUUUGGAUUCGUUGUCUUCUCAGAUCCGUCCGUUCUCGAUACUGUUCUUCAAGAAAAACACACCAUCGAUGGUAGAACGGUUGAGGCAAAGAGGGCGUUAUCAAGAGAGGAGCAGCAAACAUCUGCUAGAUCUGGAAAUCUUAAUCAGGGUAGAAAUUCAGGAAGUGGUGGAAAUAUUAGGACCAAGAAGAUUUUUGUUGGAGGGUUGCCUCCUACCUUAACUGAAGAUGGGUUUCGCCAAUACUUUGAGGCAUAUGGUCAUGUAAUUGAUGUAGUAAUCAUGUAUGACCAGAAUACUCAGCGGCCUCGUGGAUUUGGUUUUAUCUCCUUUGAUGCUGAGGAUGCAGUUGAUAGGGUUUUGCACAAGAGUUUUCAUGAUUUGAAUGGCAAGCAAGUUGAAGUGAAGCGAGCCCUCCCUAAAGAUGCCAAUCCUGGUGGGCUUAGCCGAACUAUGAGUGGUGGUGCUGGUGGUGGUGGAGGUUACCAGGGCUAUGGUGCUUCUGGUGGGAACGCGAGUUCUUAUGAUGGUCGUAUGGACUCCAAUAGGUACAUGCAGCCCCAGAGUACUGGAGCUGGCUUUCCACCUUAUGGCUCGUCGGGAUAUAGUGCACCUGGUUAUGGUUAUGGUCCGGCUAAUAAUGGUGUUGGUUAUGGUGGUUAUGGCAAUUAUGGUGGUGCUGGUGCUGGUUAUGGUGGCCCUGCAGGCGCAGCUUAUGGGAACCCCAAUGCUGGUUAUGCAGGUGGCCCACCUGGUGCCCCUAGAAGCUCAUGGGGUACUCAAACUCCUUCUGGUUAUGGUACUAUGGGUUAUGGGAGUGCUGCUCCUUGGGGUGCCCCAGGUGGUGGUGCUGGUAGUGGUGGUCCAGGUUCUGCAGGUACCGGCCAAUCUCCCACUGGAGCAACAGGGUACGGGAGUCAAGGUUAUGGAUAUGGUGGGUAUGGUGGAAAUGAUGGAUCUUAUGGGAAUGCUGGGUAUGGGGCUGUUGGAGGUCGUUCCAGUGGUACUCCAAAUAGUAAUGCUUCUGGUCCAGGUGGAGGAGAUCUACAAGGGAGUGGUGGUGGCUACAUGGGAAGUGGAUAUAGUGAUGCAAAUGGAAAUUCAGGUUACGGAAAUGCAUCAUGGAGGUCUGAUUCAUCACAAGGUUCUGGAAAUUAUGGGGGCACGCAGGCAAAUGGGCCUCAUGGUGGACAAGCCAGUUAUGGUGGUGGGUACAGUGGUGCUCAGGGCCGACAAGCCCAACAACAGUGAUUCAAUCACUGGAAAGACAACUGGAUCUCAACCUCUUUUGUGGAUAGCGUUCUCUCUGCUCUUGUGGUUUUGAUGGUUUCUUAUUUUCAGCAGCAACGGGAGAGGCUCAAGUUGGAUGUCAAAUCACCCUGGGACCGGAGGAGAGAUGCUCGAGAGUUCAAAGGUGGAGUGAAAGUGUCCACUCAUGGCUGAACCCGAGCUUCAUGGUGGGGGUUGUUCAGUGUGGGGUUUAUUCAGCAGAGGAUUGCUCGGUUGAAAUUUUGAUUAACCUGAGAGAGACCCUUCCCCAUCCAGUUGCUGCCGACUCUGCAAAUUCCUGGCUUUUGAAGUCAAAAAGUUCCUGAUCUUCAUUCGGGAUUCUGUGGGGGAUUUAUUCAACAUGGAAUUGAAUUUUUGAAGCAAACAGCCUGGGGUAUGUUGACACAAAGCUGGUAGCCAGAUCAAGAUCUCAUUGUUCCCUAAUUAUCUAGGUGUGCCUUUUGAUUCUUUGGAGUAGAUCUUACUGUGUGAUUUCUGAUUAUUUGAUAGAGAGCAUCAGAAAAGUAUGUCCUUAAAAGUUCCCUUUAGUUUUGGAAUGAAUUAUUUGCCAAACAUUUAA